UUUUUUUAAUUUUUUUUUUUUUUGUUUUUUAGGGCUUUAGUUCCUCUCCGAGCUGCGACCUUUCUCUAUCUCUCCCGAGGUAGGAAACCACCUUCUUUCUCUCUCCUGAAGAGUGGAUUUCCCAUCCUGUGCGUAAAAUUAAGUUAUAAAUAUUAUUUUAGAUUUUUUAUGCAGGUCUAGUGCUUUUGAAGGAGGUUUUUAGUUUGGACUUGCUUUUGAUUCUUGAAUAUUCUUCAAUCUAUUAUGUGAGUUGGUUUAUUUGUGUUUCAUGACCGAGGUUGUUUCCAUGUUUAAUGUCAGUUGGUGUACUUGGGAGAAAGGAUUCAACUAUGAGUUUCAUGGCUAUGGGUCAUGUAUGUUUGAGCAUGUAGCUUCCAGUCCCUCUAUGGCUGUGAAAAAUGCCGAAAGCCCUACCUCAGCGUUGUAGAGCCCUUGUGAACAAUAUCCUACUUCGGCUUCGUAGAGAUGUAUGGCCUUUGCCUUUUCUGCAAAGGUUUCCUCUAGCCUUCAUUUGGACUUUUCUGGCGAUUAUUAUUUUUGGAGGUUAGGUUCCUUGGCUUGGGCUUCCUUAUUUAGCGACAUCUUGGAACAGCAAUGCAAGCAACUUUGUGUUUGUCUUCUUUGCCGUCCUUCAGGCCUAUACGGAUGGAUCCACCAAGUCCUAGGGUUUCUUCUGUAAAUGGGAUUUGGG
rnacentral:misc_RNA from 1 species